rnacentral:tRNA from 1 species
UCCCUGGUAGCACAAAGGUUAAGUGCUUGGCUGCUAACUGAAAGGUUAGUAGUUCAAACCUACUCAGUGGAU